rnacentral:misc_RNA from 1 species
CAUGAAUGUACUGAAAGCUGAAUGAAACAUUUAAGGUAUAAAAAUCAUCCAAAGAUCAAAGGCCCAUUGUAGUACCCUUCUGAGAAAUGUACAUGAUUUGCAGCUAAUGUAACAUUUAUCAUCUAGAUCUGCAGAGGCACUCGAACAUAGCACUGACGGAUCUUCUGUUGUGUUUGAACUUGCCAUCUCGUCCAUCAUUAUAAAAGGAUCCACUUGAUUCGUCUCGUUUUAUACAAUGACUCUUUAUGUAAAGCAAGAAGAGAGGUCCAAAUAUGUGUGUAUCAUCUCGUGGUUAUUAGGAACGAAUUAAAAUAUUCACAUAGAACGGAUCCUUGUGGCAUGCAAUAAAAUGUUUCAAGUUACCAAAACAUUUGAUUGUAUAACUAGAGGGAGAUCUUGG